GUCUGCGUAGCCUUAUGGAUAAGGCGUCUGACUUCGAAUCAGAAGAUUGCGGGUUUAAAUCCUGUCGCGGACG